UAGUUUUUGAGGAGCUAAUGGAACACGUGAAGGAAAAGGAGGAGAAAGAAGCUAAAAGGUGUAAACGUCUUGCAGAUGAUUUCUUUCAUCUCUUAUCUUCUAUCAAGGUCAAGGUGCAGCAGGAGAUAACUCCAUCUUCUAAAUGGGAGGACUGUAAAUCACUUCAUGAAGUUAGUUCAGAGUACAGCCUGCAUAUAACAAGGAUGAUUUCUUUGACACAAUUUAAUGUAGUUCUCUUAACCGUGGAGCAAGAAAUGGACAUAGGUUUUCUGAGAGAAUGAGGACAGAUAGUGAGACAUUUGGCAAUUUCCAGCAGAGAUCUAAUCUUGGUUAUGGCGGCUAUGGUCCUGGCCAUAAUAGCAACUUAACCACAUUGAGGCUACCCUACCAUUAAAGCUACAUGCCUUGCAGUAAACAUGAUAUGAUGGCAAGUUCUUUUGCCCUCCCUCUUCUUCCUUUUACAAUCUCUUUUUAGAAAGUUAUUCUCUGUGCUAUAAGGGUUCAGUUUAUGUAUUGGAAGCAGCUCUAGUGAGACAGUUGAAUUUCAAACCAUCUUUUAAGUCACUGGAGUUGUAAACGUAAAUAGCUCAAAUGGUUUUGUGAUUGAAUACCUUGUUUCUUGCAGGUGAUUCCUUUGCCUCUUCCCCCUAGUGACACAUCAACCAAAAGAAUAGUAUAGAUAGAUGGAACUAGUGAACAAAUUGAAGUUGCUAAAUAGCUGGUGAACUGCAUAGAUGUUUUUUCAAGUACAAAAUAGAUAUAUAUUCUGUUAGUCAUCUGACCUUAACUGAUCAAAAUUCUUAACAUUAUGAUGUUGUGGUGGUAUUAUAUGUAUUGUUAUUAACUUAUUAUCCGGGAUCUCAAACUAAUA